UAAUACGGAGGGGGCUAGCGUUGUUCGGAAUUACUGGGCGUAAAGAGCGCGUAGGCGGACUAAAAAGUUAGACGUGAAAUCCCUAAGCUUAACUUAGGAACUGCGUUUAAAACUGUUAGUCUAGAAUUUGGAAGGGGGUAGUAGAAUUUCCAGUGUAGAGGUGAAAUUCGUAGAUAUUGGAAAGAAUACCAGUGGCGAAGGCGACUACCUGGACCAACAUUGACGCUAAGGCGCGAAAGCGUGGGUAGCAAACAGGAUUAGAUACCCUGGUAGUCCACGCAGUAAACGAUGAGAGCUAGUCGUUGGAACUUUUAGUUUCAGUGUCGUAGCUAACGCAUUAAGCUCUCCGCCUGGGGAGUACGGUCGCAAGAUUA
rnacentral:rRNA from 1 species